ACCCACAGUGAGACCUCCACACCCUCACCCCGCUGGGCGCUGUGGGAGCCGGGUACUCACAGAGCUGUCUCCCUUCUUGGGGGCCGAGGGCUUCCUGGGGAACAGGAUAAGUUUGGAGCGGUACUCCUUGAGCCGCUGCACGUUGGCUUGCAGGGACUCCGUGCACUUGUUCCGCCGCCUCGGGUCCACCGAGAUCCCAAUGGUCCGGGCCACCUUCUUGUGGUACCUGACCGUCGGGCAUCUCACCACCGGCCGGAGAGGACCGGACGUGGGGCGCGGGGCAAUGCAGCGCGCCUUGGCCUGCCGGGCCUUGAGUCUACGGAUCUUGCGAGCCGGCUGGUUAAACCACGUGGCCACGCGCCGCUGCCAGUCCUUGUGGAAGUGGGGCUUCAGGAUCAUGCCAUUCCGGCUAGGCGCCAUGGCUGUGGCCGGAAGGCCUCCUCCGAGGGCUCACGGCCGGGAAAGCUGCAGUUCUUAUAUUUAGCUCUUUCAUCCAUGUUAAUUUUUGUAUAUGGUGUGAACUUCAUUCUUUUACCUGUGUUUACAUGUAUUUUUAUGUAUACAAUGGAUAUAUGUUUAUAUAUCCAGUUUUCCCAUCACUUUUUGUUGAAGAUUACUUUUCCUCAUUGAAUGGUCUUGGUACCCUUGAAACCAUUCAAUGAGGGAAAAGUAAUUAAUUGACCAGACAUAUAUGGGUUUCUUUCUGGACUGUAAUUCUGUUCCAUUAAUCCAUGUCUAUCCUUAUGCCAAUAAUGUAUUGUUUUGAUCAUUGUAGCUUUGUAGUAAGUUUUUAAAUCAGGAGGUAUGAGUCUUCUAAUUUUGUUCUUUUUCAAGGGUUUGUUGCCUAUUCAGUGUUCCUUGCAAUUCCAUAUGAAUUGUGGGAUCAGUUAUUCCAUAUUUGUAAAAAAAGAGCAUUGGAAUUUUGAUA
rnacentral:lncRNA from 1 species